rfam:Beta vulgaris subsp. vulgaris chromosome 1, whole genome shotgun sequence.
GCAGGCUACUCAUUCCAAUAAUAAGAUGCAUCUUUCUUUUAGGGAGCUUAUUUCCUUAGUUACUCCACAGUUAAGCGUGCUUGGCUGGGAGUAGUCUUGGGAUGGGUGACCUCCUGGGAAGUUUCUCAGGGUGCUGGUU